GCCUCGGUAGUGUAAUGGGUAAGCACAACAGACCGCACAUCUAUAGGUGCGGACUCGAGUCUCGCUUGAGGUU
rnacentral:tRNA from 1 species